GACGAACGCUGGCGGCGUGCUUAACACAUGCAAGUCGAACGGAAAGGCCCUGCUUUUGUGGGGUGCCCGAGUGGCGAACGGGUGAGUAACACGUGAGUAACCUGCCCUUGACUUUGGGAUAACUUCAGGAAACUGGGGCUAAUACCGGAUAGGAGCUCCUGCUGCAUGGUGGGGGUUGGAAAGUUUCGGCGGUUGGGGAUGGACUCGCGGCUUAUCAGCUUGUUGGUGGGGUAGUGGCUUACCAAGGCUUUGACGGGUAGCCGGCCUGAGAGGGUGACCGGCCACAUUGGGACUGAGAUACGGCCCAGACCCCUACGGGAGGCAGCAGUGGGGAAUAUUGCACAAUGGGCGGAAGCCUGAUGCAGCAACGCCGCGUGCGGGAUGACGGCCUUCGGGUUGUAAACCGCUUUCGCCUGUGACGAAGCGUGAGUGACGGUAAUGGGUAAAGAAGCACCGGCUAACUACGUG
rnacentral:rRNA from 1 species